UACGUAGGAGGCAAGCGUUGUCCGGAAUUACUGGGCGUAAAGCGCGUGUAGGUGGUGGGACAAGUCUGCUGUGAAAGCGCCUGGCUUAACCGGGCGAGGUCGGCGGAAACUGUCCGACUCGGGGACGGUAGAGGGGGGUGGAAUUCCCGGUGUAGUGGUGAAAUGCGUAGAGAUCGGGAGGAACACCUGUGGCGAAGGCGGCCCCCUGGGCCGGCCCUGACACUGAGACGCGAAGGCGUGGGGAGCGAACGGG
rnacentral:rRNA from 1 species